rnacentral:tRNA from 1 species
GGGCUUGUGGUUUAGGGGUAUAAUGCCUGAUUUGCAUUCAGGAGGUCCCGGGUUCGAUUCCCGGCGAGUCCA